rnacentral:rRNA from 1 species
AUUGAACGCUGGCGGCAUGCUUUACACAUGCAAGUCGAACGGUAACAGGCCGCAAGGUGCUGACGAGUGGCGAACGGGUGAGUAAUGCAUCGGAACGUGCCCAGUCGUGGGGGAUAACGCAGCGAAAGCUGCGCUAAUACCGCAUACGAUCUAAGGAUGCAAGCGGGGGAUCGCAAGACCUCGCGCGAUUGGAGCGGCCGAUAUCAGAUUAGGUAGUUGGUGGGGUAAAGGCUCACCAAGCCAACGAUCUGUAGCUGGUCUGAGAGGACGACCAGCCACACUGGAACUGAGACACGGUCCAGACUCCUACGGGAGGCAGCAGUGGGGAAUUUUGGACAAUGGACGCAAGUCUGAUCCAGCCAUUCCGCGUGCAGGAUGAAGGCCCUCGGGUUGUAAACUGCUUUUGUACGGAACGAAAAGGUCUCUCUUAAUACGGGGGGCUCAUGACGGUACCGUAAGAAUAAGCACCGGCUAACUACGUGCCAGCCGCCGCGGUAA